rnacentral:rRNA from 1 species
GACGAACGCUGGCGGCGUGCUUAACACAUGCAAGUCGAACGGAAAGGCCCUGCUUUUGUGGGGUGCUCGAGUGGCGAACGGGUGAGUAACACGUGAGUAACCUGCCCUGGACUUUGGGAUAACUUCAGGAAACUGGGGCUAAUACCGGAUAGGAGCUCCUGCUGCAUGGUGGGGGUUGGAAAGUUUCGGCGGUUGGGGAUGGACUCGCGGCUUAUCAGCUUGUUGGUGGGGUAGUGGCUUACCAAGGCUUUGACGGGUAGCCGGCCUGAGAGGGUGACCGGCCACAUUGGGACUGAGAUACGGCCCAGACUCCUACGGGAGGCAGCAGUGGGGAAUAUUGCACAAUGGGCGGAAGCCUGAUGCAGCAACGCCGCGUGCGGGAUGACGGCCUUCGGGCUGUAAACCGCUUUCGCCUGUGACGAAGCGUGAGUGACGGUAAUGGGUAAAGAAGCACCGGCUAACUACGUG